AGUACCCCCUCUCUAAAAUGGUUCGGAAUCUCUCUCUACAACCCUGAUUUAGUUUUCGAUGGCAAAGAGGUCCGUCAAAUAGCCGGUUAAAAUCUCAAACGAACAGGUCGAGGAGAGUCGGGGAGAGCGAGGAAGAUGACGGCAUCACACUUUCAAAUCUUCGGCGGGGAAGAGCUCCUUCAAGUUACGAUUUUCAAAUCUGACCUCCAUUUUAGGAUUGUUCCAUGGCCAAGAAGAACAUAGGAAUAUGUCAUUCUUGUAGGGUGGCAAGACAAUAAAGGGAUGUUGUUCCAUUGUUGCACCCGCGAUUGUAGGCUUUUCAAGUUUUCUAACGUUCCGCCCUACAAAGAGUAUCCAUUGCAAGGUGAAUCAAGUGGUACUACCAACGAAAGUGAACCGGUCGACGAUUUGUCCCGUAUGUUGAGAAUGUGUGCAAAAAUAACCGAGGAGAGAAACGUGGAGAUUUCAUUCAACUUAUUGUACUUAAAAUUCCUGUGAUGGUUGUCAUAGAAGCACAUUUUUUGUUAACAUGUCUUGAUCUUGAACGGUUUGUGUUGUAUGUAGUGAACUAUUACAAGUGUUCUCAAUCUAGUUUUUCAUAAUUUCUAUGGAUA